GAAAGCAUUUGCCAAGCGCGUCUUCAUUAAUCAAGAACGAAAGUCAGAGGUUCGAAGGCGAUCAGAUACCGCCCUAGUUCUGACCGUAAACGAUGCCAACUAGCGAUCCGCCGGUGGCCACUAGGCCCUGGUGGGGAGCUUCCCGGAAACGAAAGUCUUCCGGUUCCGGGGGAAGUAUGGUUGCAAAGCUGAAACUUAAAGGAAUUGACGGAAGGGCACCACCAGGAGUGGAGCCUGCGGCUUAAUUUGACUCAACACGGGAAAACUCACCCGGCCCGGACACCGUAAGGAUUGACAGAUUGAUAGCUUUUUCAUGAUUCGGUGGUUGGUGGUGCAUGGCCGUUCUUAGUUCGUGGAUCGAUUUGUCUGGUUUAUUCCGAUAACGAGCGAGACUCCAGCCUACUAACUAGUGCGAGCAUUGCUACUGUGCUUUUGCACUUCUUAGAGGGAUUGGCUGCGUCUAGCGGCACGAAACGGAGCAAUAACAGGUCUGUGAUGCCCUUAGAUGUCCGGGGCUGCACGCGCGCUACACUGGCAAAGGCAGCGUGCUUGUCCGUCUCCGAAAGGAGUCGGUAAACCCUUGAAAAUUUGCCGUGAUUGGGAUCGGAAAUUGCAAUUAUUUUCCGUGAACGAGGAAUUCCUAGUAAGUGCGAGUCAUCAGCUCGCGUUGAUUACGUCCCUGCCCUUUGUACACACCGCCCGUCGCUGCCUAGAACUGAGCCAUUUCGAGAAUAUUCGGGAUCGCUGGUUGCACGCCUCUCGGGGCGCGCCUCCGGCCGGAGAACGAACGUAAUCGCAGUGGCUUGAACCGGGCAAAAGUCGUAACAA
rnacentral:rRNA from 1 species